UUGGAUACCAACCGAGUUAUAGCAAAACUUGAUGCAAAAAUGAGGAAAAUUUUACAUUUUCACAAACAGAGUAUGGAACUUGGUUCCUCGAAUAACUUCUGGCACAGACAUCUGAGGGCAUGGCCGUCCAAGAAGAAAAUGUAGCCAUUGAUGCCAUCUAUCGACCACAGGCAAAGAUUGGCGAUCGGUUGGAUACCGACCGAGUUAUAGGCAAAACUUGGUGCAAAAAUGAGCCUUGGCGAUUGGUAAAUUUAUAGAUUUUUUUGAUUUUUUUAAUUUUUUGUAUGCUAUUUUUAAUUUAAAGCAUUAUUUGAUUGAAAAGAAACUUAUUUUAACAAUUUCGCAUGAAAUUAAAACAAUAUUUUAAAUUUUGCUAAUUUGCUCAAAAAAAUGGCAAGGGGUACCCCUUAUGAAAUUUUCGAGUUGAAAAUAUUUUUUUUAUUUUUUUGUUAUUUUUUAUUCUUUUCUUCUUUUAAAACAUUAUUUGAGCGAAAAGAAACUUAUUGCAACUAAUUCGCAUUAAAAUAUAUCAAUUUUUUACAUUUUGCUAAAUUACUCAAAAAAUGGUAUGGAAUUUGGUUCCUCGAAUAACUUCUGGCACAGACAUCUGAGGGCAUGGCCGUCCAAGAAGAAAAUGUAGCCAUUGAUGCCAUCUAUCGACCACAGUUUAAAGAUUGACAAUCCGUUGGAUAGGGACCGAGUUAUAGACAAAAAUUGGUGCAAAAAUGAGGAAAAUUUUACAAUUUCACAAACAGGGUAAGGAACUUGGUUCCUCGAAUAACUCCUGGCACAGACAUUUGAGGGCAUGGCCGUCCAAGAAGAAAAUGUAGCCAUUGAUGCCAUCUAUCGACCACAGGUAAAGAUUGGCGAUCCGUUGGAUACCGACCGAGUUAUAGACAAAACUUGGUGCAAAAAUGAGCCUUGGAGAUUGGUAAAUGUAUAGAUUUUUUUUAAUUUUUUUAUUUUUUUGUAUGCUUUUUUUAAUUUAAAGCAUUAUUUGAGUGAAAAGAAACUUAUUGUAACAAUUUCGCAUGAAAAUAAAACAAUAUUUUAAAUUUUGCUAAUUUGCUCAAAAAAAUGGCAAGGGGUACCCCUUAUGAAAUUUUCGAGUUGAAAAUAUUUUUUUUAUUUUUUUGUUAUUAUUUAUUCUUUUCUUCUUUUAAAACAUUAUUUGAGUGAAAAGAAACUUAUUGCAACUAAUUCGCAUUAAAAUAUAUCAAUUUUUUACAUUUUGCUAAAUUACUCAAAAAAUGGUAUGGAAUUUGGUUCCUCGAAUAACUUCUGGCACAGACAUCUGAGGGCAUGGCCGUCCAAGAAGAAAAUGUAGCCAUUGAUGCCAUCUAUCGACCACAGGCAAAGAUUGGCGAUACGUUGGAUAGGGACCGAGUUAUAGGCAAAACUUAGUGCAAAAAUCAGGAAAAUUUUACAUUUUCACAAACAGGGUAAGGAACUUGGUUCCUCGAAUAACUCCUGGCACAGACAUCUGAGGGCAUGGCCGUCCAAGAAGAAAAUGUAGCCAUUGAUGCCAUCUAUCGACCACAGGCAAAGAUUGGCGAUCGGUUGGAUACCGACCGAGUUAUAGGCAAAACUUGGUGCAAAAAUGAGCCUUGGAGAUUGGUAAAUUUUUAGAUUUUUUUGAUUUUUCAAUUUUUUGUAUGCUUUUCUUAAUUUAAAGCAUUAUUUGAGUGAAAAGAAACUUAUUGUAACAAUUUCACAUGAAAAUAAAACAAUUUUUUAAAUUUUGCUAAUUUGCUCAAAAAAAUGGCAAGGGGUACCCCUUAUGAAAUUUUCGAGUUGAAAAUAUUUUUUUUAUUUUUUUGUUAUUUUUUAUUCUUUUCUUCUUUUAAAACAUUAUUUGAGUGAAAAGAAACUUAUUGCAACUAAUUCGCAUUAAAAUA